AGACCCGAAACCCGGUGAUCUAGCCAUGGGCAGGUUGAAGGUUGGGUAACACUAACUGGAGGACCGAACCGACUAAUGUUGAAAAAUUAGCGGAUGACUUGUGGCUGGGGGUGAAAGGCCAAUCAAACCGGGAGAUAGCUGGUUCUCCCCGAAAGCUAUUUAGGUAGCGCCUCGUGAAUUCAUCUCCGGGGGUAGAGCACUGUUUCGGCAAGGGGGUCAUCCCGACUUACCAACCCGAUGCAAACUGCGAAUACCGGAGAAUGUUAUCACGGGAGACACACGGCGGGUGCUAACGUCCGUCGUGAAGAGGGAAACAACCCAGACCGCCAGCUAAGGUCCCAAAGUCAUGGUUAAGUGGGAAACGAUGUGGGAAGGCCCAGACAGCCAGGAUGUUGGCUUAGAAGCAGCCAUCAUUUAAAGAAAGCGUAAUAGCUCACUGGUCGAGUCGGCCUGCGCGGAAGAUGUAACGGGGCUAAACCAUGCACCGAAGCUGCGGCAGCGACACUGUGUGUUGUU
rnacentral:rRNA from 1 species